GCCUCCGUGGCGCAAUCGGCGGCUAUAGCGCGUUCGGCUGUUAACCGGGUUGGUGGUUCGAGCCCACCCGGGGGCG